rnacentral:tRNA from 1 species
AACGCCGAGGCCCUACGGCGGGGCGUGAGCCUGCAAAGCUCACCGGAGUGGGUUCGAUUCCCACCGGCGUUU